UACGGGGGGGGGCAAGCGUUGUUCGGAAUUACUGGGCGUAAAGGGCUCGUAGGCGGCCAACUAAGUCAUACGUGAAAUCCCCCGGCUUAACCGGGGAACUGCGUCUGAUACUGGAUGGCUUGAGUUCGGGAGAGGGAUGCGGAAUUCCAGGUGUAGCGGUCGAAAUGCGUAGAUAUCUGGAGGAACACCGGUGGCGAAGGCGGCAUCCUGGACCGAUACUGACGCUGAGGAGCGAAAGCCAGGGGGAGCAAAACGGG
rnacentral:rRNA from 1 species